CGGUCCGUCGCCAGCCCCCGCGCCACCUCCGGCGAGACCGGCACGACGUCCCCGCCGAGCACCGGCGACACCAUCACGGUGCUGUCCUUCUCCUGGUACAGCGGCGGCAGCGGCGCCGCCGGCGUGAUGGCCUGCUCCCGAUAGACGACGUAGACCCCCAGGCGGUCGUAGAUGAUGUUGGAGCGCUCGCUCGGGUUGCGGAUGGCCAGCGUGAACUGCAGGCUGGCGGAGACCACCGCUGCGUCGAUGGCGGUGACGUUGAUGUCGUAGACGGCGGCGGAGAGGACGGUGAACCGCGGCUCGGAGGGCCGGUAGACGAGGUAGAGCACGAGGGCGGUGACCCCGGCGAGGAAGAUGAGGAGGAGAAGCCCCCAGAAGAUGGUCCACCAGGCGCCGCCGCCGUGGCCGCGGUAGUGCCUGGGGCUGCCGUCCGAGUCAGAGCCCUUCACCGAGCUCAUGUCGCGCCC
rnacentral:lncRNA from 1 species